CCUACGGGUGGCUGCAGUGGGGAAUAUUGCACAAUGGGGGAAACCCUGAUGCAGCAACGCCGCGUGAGUGAAGAAGUAUUUCGGUAUGUAAAGCUCUAUCAGCAGGGAAGAGAAUGACGGUACCUGACUAAGAAGCCACGGCUAACUACGUGCCAGCAGCCGCGGUAAUACGGAGGGGGCAAGCGUUAUCCGGAUUUACUGGGUGUAACGGGAGCGUAGACGGCUGUCCAAGUCUGACGUGAAAGCCCGUGGCUCAACCGCGGAACUGCUUUGGAAACUGUCAAGCUGGCGUACGGGAGAGGCAGGCGCACUUCCUAGUGUAGCGGUGAAAUGCGUCGAUAUUAGGAGGAACACCAGUGGCGCAGGCGGCCUGCUGGACAGCACCUGACGUUGAGGCUCGAACGCGUGGGGAGCAAACAGGAUUAGAUACCCGGGUAGUC
rnacentral:rRNA from 1 species